rnacentral:rRNA from 1 species
GACGAACGCUGGCGGCGUGCUUAAUACAUGCAAGUCAACUUGACUUUAGAUAGCAAUAUCGAAAAGUAGGGUGGCGCACGGGUGCGUAACGCGUAGGUAAUCUGCCCUGAGGUCUGACAUAACCCGUCGAAAGGCGGGCUAACAUCAGAUGAUAUAUAAUCACGACAUCGUGGAAAAUAUCAAAUCUUCGGAGCCUUGGGAUGAGCCUGCGUCUGAUUAGGUAGUUGGCGGAGUAAUAGCCCACCAAGCCUACGAUCAGUAGCUGGUCUGAGAGGAUGAUCAGCCACACUGGAACUGAGACACGGUCCAGACUCCUACGGGAGGCAGCAGUAAGGAAUAUUGCUCAAUGGGGGAAACCCUGAAGCAGCAACGCCGCGUGAAGGAUGAAAUACUUUUGUAUGUAAACUUCUGUAAGAUGGGAAAAAUAUUCUCCUCGGAGAAUUGAUUGUACCAUCAGAGUAAGCCCCGGCUAACUACGUGCCAGCAGCCG